rnacentral:rRNA from 1 species
CCUACGGGAGGCUGCAGUGGGGAAUAUUGGACAAUGGGGGGAACCCUGAUCCAGCCAUGCCGCGUGUGUGAAGAAGGCCCUCGGGUUGUAAAGCACUUUCAGUGAGGAAGAACGCCUGGUGGUUAAUACCCAUCAGGAAAGACAUCACUCACAGAAGAAGCACCGGCUAACUCCGUGCCAGCAGCCGCGGUAAUACGGAGGGUGCGAGCGUUAAUCGGAAUUACUGGGCGUAAAGCGCGCGUAGGUGGCUUGAUAAGCCGGUUGUGAAAGCCCCGGGCUCAACCUGGGAACGGCAUCCGGAACUGUCAAGCUAGAGUGCAGGAGAGGAAGGUAGAAUUCCCGGUGUAGCGGUGAAAUGCGUAGAGAUCGGGAGGAAUAACAGUGGCGAAGGCGGCCUUCUGGACUGACACUGACACUGAGGUGCGAAAGCGUGGGUAGCAAACAGGAUUAGAUACCCCUGUAGUC